UACGUAGGGUGCAAGCGUUGUCCGGAAUUAUUGGGCGUAAAGAGCUCGUAGGCGGUUUGUCGCGUCUGCUGUGAAAACCCGAGGCUCAACCUCGGGCCUGCAGUCGAUACGGGCAGACUAGAGUGCGGUAGGGGAGACUGGAAUUCCUGGUGUAGCGGUGAAAUGCGCAGAUAUCAGGAGGAACACCGGUGGCGAAGGCGGGUCUCUGGGCCGUAACUGACGCUGAGGAGCGAAAGCGUGGGGAGCGAACAGG
rnacentral:rRNA from 1 species